CGGCGUCAUGGUCGAGGUCCAGGAUGGCGGCGUGGCCGCCCGCCUGGACCACGCGCCGGCACACGGCCGCUCCGAUGCCGCUGGCGCCGCC
rnacentral:tRNA from 1 species